UGAGGUUAAGUGACUAAGCGUACACGGUGGAUGCCUAGGCAGUCAGAGGCGAUGAAGGGCGUGCUAAUCUGCGAAAAGCGUCGGUAAGGUGAUAUGAACCGUUAUAACCGGCGAUACCCGAAUGGGGAAACCCAGUGUGUUUCGACACACUAUCAUGUCAUGAAUACAUAGUGGCAUGAGGCGAACCGGGGGAACUGAAACAUCUAAGUACCCCGAGGAAAAGAAAUCAACCGAGAUUCCCCCAGUAGCGGCGAGCGAACGGGGAGGAGCCCAGAACCUGAAUCGGCUUGUGUGUUAGUGGAAGCGUCUGGAAAGUCGCGCAGUAAAGGGUGAUAGCCCCGUACACUAAAAUGCACAGGUCGUGAGUUCGAUGAGUAGGGCGGGACACGUGACAUCCUGUCUGAAUAUGGGGGGACCAUCCUCCAAGGCUAAAUACUCCUGACUGACCGAUAGUGAACCAGUACCGUGAGGGAAAGGCGAAAAGAACCCCGGCGAGGGGAGUGAAAUAGAACCUGAAACCGUGUACGUACAAGCAGUGGGAGCACCUUCGUGGUGUGACUGCGUACCUUUUGUAUAAUGGGUCAGCGACUUAUAUUUUGUAGCAAGGUUAACCGUAUAGGGGAGCCGUAGGGAAACCGAGUCUUAACUGGGCGACUAGUUGCAAGGUAUAGACCCGAAACCCGGUGAUCUAGCCAUGGGCAGGUUGAAGGUUGGGUAACACUAACUGGAGGACCGAACCGACUAAUGUUGAAAAAUUAGCGGAUGACUUGUGGCUGGGGGUGAAAGGCCAAUCAAACCGGGAGAUAGCUGGUUCUCCCCGAAAGCUAUUUAGGUAGCGCCUCGUGAACUCAUCUUCGGGGGUAGAGCACUGUUUCGGCUAGGGGGCCAUCCCGGCUUACCAAACCGAUGCAAACUCCGAAUACCGAAGAAUGUUAUCACGGGAGACACACGGCGGGUGCUAACGUCCGUCGUGAAGAGGGAAACAACCCAGACCGCCAGCUAAGGUCCCAAAGUCAUGGUUAAGUGGGAAACGAUGUGGGAAGGCAUAGACAGCCAGGAUGUUGGCUUAGAAGCAGCCAUCAUUUAAAGAAAGCGUAAUAGCUCACUGGUCGAGUCGGCCUGCGCGGAAGAUGUAACGGGGCUAAACCAUGCACCGAAGCUGCGGCAGCGACGCUUAGGCGUUGUUGGGUAGGGGAGCGUUCUGUAAGCCGUUGAAGGUGGCCUGUGAGGGUUGCUGGAGGUAUCAGAAGUGCGAAUGCUGACAUAAGUAACGAUAAAGCGGGUGAAAAGCCCGCUCGCCGGAAGACCAAGGGUUCCUGUCCAACGUUAAUCGGGGCAGGGUGAGUCGACCCCUAAGGCGAGGCUGAAAAGCGUAGUCGAUGGGAAACAGGUUAAUAUUCCUGUACUUGGUGUUACUGCGAAGGGGGGACGGAGAAGGCUAGGCUAGCCGGGCGACGGUUGUCCCGGUUUAAGCGUGUAGGGGGUGUGACCUGGUAAAUCCGGUUGCAUGCUAACCCUGAGGCGUGAUGACGAUGCACUACGGUGCAGAAGUAGUUGAUGCCCUGCUUCCAGGAAAAUCCUCUAAGCUCCAGGUAACAUUAAAUCGUACCCCAAACCGACACAGGUGGUCAGGUAGAGAAUACCAAGGCGCUUGAGAGAACUCGGGUGAAGGAACUAGGCAAAAUGGUGCCGUAACUUCGGGAGAAGGCACGCUGGCAUGUAGGUGAAGUCCCUUGCGGAUGGAGCUGAAGCCAGUCGAAGAUACCAGCUGGCUGCAACUGUUUAAUAAAAACACAGCACUGUGCAAACACGAAAGUGGACGUAUACGGUGUGACGCCUGCCCGGUGCUGGAAGGUUAAUUGAUGGGGUCAGCCGCAAGGCGAAGCUCUUGAUCGAAGCCCCAGUAAACGGCGGCCGUAACUAUAACGGUCCUAAGGUAGCGAAAUUCCUUGUCGGGUAAGUUCCGACCUGCACGAAUGGCGUAAUGAUGGCCAGGCUGUCUCCACCCGAGACUCAGUGAAAUUGAACUCGCUGUGAAGAUGCAGUGUACCCGCGGCAAGACGGAAAGACCCCGUGAACCUUUACUAUAGCUUGACACUGAACAUUGAGCCUUGAUGUGUAGGAUAGGUGGGAGGCUUUGAAGCGUGGACGCCAGUCUGCGUGGAGCCAUCCUUGAAAUACCACCCUUUAAUGUUUGAUGUUCUAACUCGGCCCCAUAAUCUGGGGUGAGGACAGUGUCUGGUGGGUAGUUUGACUGGGGCGGUCUCCUCCCAAAGAGUAACGGAGGAGCACGAAGGUUAGCUAAUCACGGUCGGACAUCGUGAGGUUAGUGCAAAGGCAUAAGCUAGCUUGACUGCGAGAGUGACGGCUCGAGCAGGUACGAAAGUAGGUCUUAGUGAUCCGGUGGUUCUGAAUGGAAGGGCCAUCGCUCAACGGAUAAAAGGUACUCCGGGGAUAACAGGCUGAUACCGCCCAAGAGUUCAUAUCGACGGCGGUGUUUGGCACCUCGAUGUCGGCUCAUCACAUCCUGGGGCUGAAGUAGGUCCCAAGGGUAUGGCUGUUCGCCAUUUAAAGUGGUACGCGAGCUGGGUUUAGAACGUCGUGAGACAGUUCGGUCCCUAUCUGCCGUGGGCGUUGGAAGAUUGAGAGGGGUUGCUCCUAGUACGAGAGGACCGGAGUGAACGCACCACUGGUGUUCGGGUUGUCAUGCCAAUGGCAUUGCCCGGUAGCUAAGUGCGGAAAAGAUAAGCGCUGAAAGCAUCUAAGCGCGAAACUUGCCUCAAGAUGAGUCUUCCCUGGGCCUUCAAGGCCCCUGAAGGAACGUUUAAGACUAAGACGUUGAUAGGCUGGGUGUGUAAGUGCAGCGAUGCAUUGAGCUAACCAGUACUAAUGAUCCGUGAGGCUUAACCUU
rnacentral:rRNA from 1 species